rnacentral:piRNA from 1 species
UAGGUUUCAAGUUUUGAUUUGAAAAUGGCU